AUUGGCCGCCGCGAUGUCAGCUCAGUGCUGUGCGGGCCAGGUGAGCGAGGCCGGGCGCAGCGCGGGGGUUGUCAGAUCGGAGAACCGGGCCAGGAGUCCAGGCGUGGAGGACCUGCCUGGGUGCGCUCCCAGCUCCGCGGCCGAACGUAGGGCCCGGGUGGGUCGCUCGGGCUGGCCCCGCGGUGCUCAGCCGUCCGGGAAAUCCUGUGCCCUGGGCGGGCGGGAAGGGGCAGGGGGAAGCCCGAGAGGCUACCCCGGGGUCUUCCCGUCCGGCCUCCGGGACUCCGCGUGGGGCGGGGCGUGCCGGGCUCGGGCGGAGGAUCCCGACUGCUCCAGGGGCGUGUCGCCUCUUGCGCCGAGCACUGGUGAAUAGCGCUGAGCUCCGUAGCCCUCUCCACUCUGCUUGUCGGAUGAAUCCAGGAAGAAAAGUGGGUUUAGGCACCGUCUCCUUUGCUAUGCCCUGAAUAAAACUUGGGUCAAACAACCCAGGCAGGUUGCGCUUGGCAUCUCGUAGUCGAGCGUGGGCUCUGUACCUUUGAGAAUGUCUCGAAGCCUGACUUCCAAACUACCGGGCGCAGGUCUGGGCGAAGGGAAAACUCAGCCCUGCUUCCUGAAUUUCCCGACCCAACCCUGGCUCGGUACUAGCACGACUGCCUGGGUAGGGCUGGAGCCUUCCUGCCUCUCUUUGCAAAUAAACUUGUUCGAACCUGUUUUUUAACUCUCGCCUAUUUAAACCUAUGAUGUCUUAAAACAUUAUGUCUCCUACCAGUUACUGCAUCAGUGUAGAAUUAGUACGUCUUAGCCCUGUAAUGCUGGUUUCACUCCUUCCUGCAGAGUUAGAACUAGCACUGGCACUUUUAUUUUCCUGUUCAUCUUUAUAAAGAUGUGGGCACAAUGCAGUAAAAUGCCCUAUAAUUGUUCUGUCAAGGUGGUGUUUUGGUUGAUGUUGGCUAAAUACGGUAGUACCCCUUUACUUGCAGUUUUGCUUUCUGUGGUUUCAGUUACCUGAGGUCUAUUGGGGUAUGAAAAUAUUAAGUGGAAAAUUCCAGAAAUAAACAAUUCACCGGUUUAAAUUAUGCCCUGUUCUGAAUAGUGUGAUGAAACCUCACUCCAUCCCACUGGGAUGUGAAUCAAUUCUGGCCAGCAUCUCCAUGCUGUCUAGCUGUCUACCUAUGCUCCUCACCCCUUAGUCACUUAGGAGCCAUCUCGGUUAUCAGAUCCACUGUCGCAGAAUUGCAGUCCUUGUGUUCAAGUCAUUCAAGUCACCCAUAUUUGACUUAGUGGCCCCAAAGCGCAAGAGUAGUGAUGCUGGCAUAGUGUCAUAAGUGUUUGAUUUUAUUAUUUGUUAUUGUUGUUAAUCUCUUAACUGUGCCUAAUUUAGAAAUUAAACUUCAUCAUGAGGCCAGGCAAGGUGGCUCAUGCCUGUAAUCCCAGGACUCACUGCAACCUCUGCCUCCCGGGUUCAAGCGAUUCUCCUGCUUCAGCCUCCCAAGUAGCUGGGAUUACAGGCGCCUGCCACCACGCCCAGUUAAUUUUUUUUUUUUUGUAUUUUUAUCUGAGACGGGGUUUCGCCAUGUUGGCCAGGCUGAAACAAAAAGGUAAAGGUUGGCGGGUGGUGAUGUAAGGUUAUUUUCAUUUCUGUUGAUGAUAGAAGAAAUAAGUAUAAGCACCUUCAUUUGGCCCUGGUUCCUUUUGCAAAUGUAUUGCUUGAAUGCAGGCAUCCUCACAAAGGCUGUCUAGGGCUUUGUGCCAGCUUGCCUUGGAAUGAGGACCUGCUCCAGAAGUGGGUGGAGGGGUGCUGAUAAAACCCACUGGGCAUCUGGCAGUGCUUGCUUGAAAAGGCAAUGAACAGCGGCUAUUUGUUUGGGGGAAAGGCACACACCUAUUCGUUCCUUCCACUUCAAGCUAGAAGUGGAAGAAGAAGAUGAAUUUCAAGGGUGAAAAGAGGGAAGAGCUGGA
rnacentral:lncRNA from 1 species